CACGUAGGGCGCAAGCGUUGUCCGGAAUUAUUGGGCGUAAAGAGCUCGUAGGCGGUCUGUUACGUCUGCUGUGAAAACCCAGGGCUUAACCCUGGGCUUGCAGUGGAUACGGGCAGACUAGAGGCAGGUAGGGGAGGCUGGAAUUCCUGGUGUAGCGGUGGAAUGCGCAGAUAUCAGGAGGAACACCGAUGGCGAAGGCAGGUCUCUGGGCCACUACUGACGCUGAGAAGCGAAAGCAUGGGGAGCGAACAGG
rnacentral:rRNA from 1 species